rnacentral:rRNA from 1 species
UACGGAGGGUGCAAGCAUUAAUCGGAAUUAUUGGGCGUAAAGCGCGCGCAGGCGGCCUCGCGCGCCGACGUGAAAGCCCCCGGCUUAACCGGGGAGGGUCGUUGGGGACGGCGGGGCUUGAGGGCGGGAGAGGGUGGUGGAAUUCCCGGUGUAGCGGUGAAAUGCGCAGAUAUCGGGAGGAACACCGGUGGCGAAGGCGGUUCUCUGGGCAUUACCUGACGCUGAGGAGCGAAAGUGUGGGGAGCGAACAGG